GACGAACGCUGGCGGCGUGCUUAACACAUGCGAGUCGAACGGAAAGGCCCUGCUUUUGUGGGGUGCUCGAGUGGCGAACGGGUGAGUAACACGUGAGUAACCUGCCCUUGACUUUGGGAUAACUUCAGGAAACUGGGGCUAAUACCGGAUAGGAGCUCCUGCUGCAUGGUGGGGGUUGGAAAGUUUCGGCGGUUGGGGAUGGACUCGCGGCUUAUCAGCUUGUUGGUGGGGUAGUGGCUUACCAAGGCUUUGACGGGUAGCAGGCCUGAGAGGGUGACCGGCCACAUUGGGACUGAGAUCCGGCCCAGACUCCUACGGGAGGCAGCAGGGGGGAAUAUUGCACAAUGGGCGGAAGCCUGAUGCAGCAACGCCGCGUGCGGGAUGACGGCCUUCGGGUUGUAAACCGCUUUCGCCUGUGACGAAGCGUGAGUGACGGUAAUGGGUAAAGAAGCACCGGCUAACUACGUG
rnacentral:rRNA from 1 species